rnacentral:lncRNA from 1 species
CUGCCCUGCCUCAGCCAACAGCUAUCUGCAGCUCAUUUCCUGCUUUCUGGCCAUCUUAUCUCUGUCUUCAAGCAUUCCUCAGCUUUCUCUUUCCAGAACAGGAUUAUGAACCGACACCAUACAGAGGUAUUUGUAAGAAAGAAGGUGGAUGCCGGAAUCCUUUCUUCAAACAGAAGCUUACCAGUAAGUGCAGACUAAUACAACAGGUAGGUCAAGGCUAAUCCAGUUGGAGGGGGUGCUGGUGGAGGUGGGCACUGAGGGAGGGGGUCAGCACCCUAGCCGUCCAGCCCUCUCCAUCCUCCUGCACCCGCCACACCUGGGUUCUGUGCAGCCUGAUGUGUCCCCACCCCCUCCUAUGCAAUGAAGGAGGGAGACGCAGAGAUGGAGGGCGGCUUCCCCAAGACCACCCAGGGUACUGGUUUGUGGUGGAGCGGGAAGAGGUCACGACGCCUCCUGCCUAGCACUCCCUCUCUUACCCCAGCCUGUCUGUUGCCGCCUGCAUCCCUCCAUUCACACAGUGUCUUCUCCUGCCAGACACCAGCAGGACACAGCGGGCAGGACAGGUUCCUCUGGGUCUGCCCGAAGGACUCAAAGUCCAGGGACAAGAGUCGCUUGGUGGCCUCAGGAAGGAGAGAAGGAGGCACUGUUUCGGAUGGGCCGGGGGAAGUGGAGGUGGGAUGCAGGGCUGUGGAGUCCUCCUGGCAGCCUAGGCUGUGUGUGGGGCGUGGCGGGAUGCCAGAGGGUCUGUGUUGAGGCCUAGCCCUGUCUCCUCUACAGUGGAGGAACUGCUUUGGGACUCAGUUUUGUUACUUGUAAAAUGGGGCCACGCUCUGCCCUUCCAGCUUCAUGUUGCUGAAGGGAGGCUCUAAGGAGACGGAAGCUUCCUGUUCCUGUAACAAGAUGCCAUGAGCGAAUCAUACUCUCAGCCUGGCCCCCAGGAGUCUCCUCCCUUCGGGCUUCUGGAGUUCCCUGCUCCACUCUGACCCCCAGGGAGAGUCCCCACGUAUCCUCCCCGCUGUGGAGGGUGCCCUUGCAGUCCUCCCUGAGCUGCCCCAGGAUGACUGGCUCCACAGGGAAUGUCCUCCCACUCUGUAGGAAGUGGAGCAUGGCUGAGAAGAACUCCCUGUGGUCAGGUCACCCCCAUCCCCAGACGCACACAGACACAAACACAUACAUAUCCUGAGGUAUUGAAGAAGAAUUCACCACACCCUGAAGAUUGCUUUCCACAAAGCACUCUCUCCAAGCCCUGAGUCACCCAACUCCUUCACUCUGGACACCCUGCCAGGAACAAGGAUAUUUGUCCUUUCGGCAGACAUGGGUUCAAGUCCCUGCUCCACUGCUAACUAAUGGCAUGGCCUGGGUCAAGCAUUACUUGCUAAUCUCAGUUUUUUCAUAGGUAGAAUAAGGAUAAUAGCAUCAACCUUAUAUGUUGGUUGUGAGGAUCAAGUGAGAUAAUGUGUGUGUGGCAGGAGGAAAGCCAUCGGCGGGGGCGGGUGGGGGUCGAGUGUUCCAUCCCAGUCUCUCCCUUCUCUCUGCUCAUCAGAGAAAAUCCUGACUUGGCCUAUUUGAAUUGUGUGUGUGUGUGUGUGUGUGUGUGUGUGUGUGUGUGUGUGUGUGUGUGCGCGCACGCCUCCCUUAACCCUCUAUGAAAGGUGCUGAUUUAUUGGAAUAGUCCUUAGGCAUAGGCGAUAUAGAACUGGGAGGAGAGAGAGAGAGGGAAGAAGGAUUAGCAGCAAGACUGAGGGAGGAGGGAGGUUUGAGCAGCUGUAAUGGGUGAGGGAAGAGAGUGGGUGGGAGAAAGGAGAUUUGAGAAGCAUCGCUAUGAUCCAUGAAUCUUUGUAGUCAAGUUUAAGAAAUUCAAGUAAACAGAGUUAUUGUGAAAUUAUUAUUUUUUGGUUGCUAUUCUCUC